rnacentral:lncRNA from 1 species
CGGGCGUAUGACAUUUGCGCCGAUUUUGAAAAUUUGCAUUCUUUCAUUUGCGCCGAUUUCAUUUUUUCAUUUGCGCCGAUUUUAUAUUUUCUACUAAUUGGAUUUACAGGUAAGUUACAGGUAAGUUAAUACUUUUACAUCUACUAUACCUUGAAGGUAUAUUGGUAAAAUCUGGUUAUAAACGUUGUUCACUUAGGGUUUAAAGUUAAUUUUAUUUCAUAUUGUUCUGGGACAUCGUUGUAACACGAUGGACAUAUUGCAC